AGACAGUUCAGUCACAUGACACAUCACAGGUUUUACUUUUUCCAAAGAGAAAAAUAAAAAGAUACAAAUAAAUUUACGUCUCGGCACAGUAGGGACAAGGAGAAAGUUUUGGGAAGAAAGGGAUGCGGCCCCUUAGGCCGCAGGGGUUCUCUCACGUCUGCGGUACCCAGAGCCGACGCCCUGCUGCUCCUACUGGUCAGUGGGGACUGGAACACCACAGCCGGUCGGGUCACGCACUUCGUCUUCC
rnacentral:lncRNA from 1 species